AACGAACGCUGGCGGCAUGCCUAACACAUGCCAGUCGAACGAGACCUUCGGGUCUAGUGGCGCACGGGUGCGUAACGCGUGGGAACCUGCCCUUAGGUUCGGAAUAACUCCCCGAAAGGGGUGCUAAUACCGGAUAAUGUCUUCGGACCAAAGAUUUAUCGCCUUUAGAUGGGCCCGCGUUGGAUUAGCUAGUUGGUAGGGUAAAAGCCUACCAAGGCGACGAUCCAUAGCUGGUCUGAGAGGAUGAUCAGCCACACUGGGACUGAGACACGGCCCAGACUCCUACGGGAGGCAGCAGUGGGGAAUAUUGGACAAUGGGCGAAAGCCUGAUCCAGCAAUGCCGCGUGAGUGAUGAAGGCCUUAGGGUUGUAAAGCUCUUUUACCCGGGAUGAUAAUGACAGUACCGGGAGAAUAAGCUCCGGCUAACUCCGUG
rnacentral:rRNA from 1 species